CUUCCUAGUUUUGGAUGUGAUGUCACAGCGCAGGACGUUACUUGGUCUAAUUCAUCUGCAAGCAGUUGAAAAGCUGUGUUAUUAGCUUAGAUUUCUUAAAGUAGCUGAAUUCAGUAAUCAGAAAGGCUGUUUGGAUCCUUUUGGACUCAUAAGCUGCGUCCAAAACCAAAUACUACACCAAUGGACUUCUACUGAUGGUAUAGCUAACUAGUUACACAGCCACAGUAUAGAACCACGACGAAGCUCACAUAGCGUGUGCACUGUAGUUGCAUUUAUAGCCUUAGAUAUCUUAGAAAGGCUAAAACUGGUAACUUCUAGUUUGCAGAGGUUCGCGUUGGCUGGUUAAUGAGAGCACUGCAAUGGACCUGGUUGAACCUGAGCACUGUGCCAAAGUGUUGACAGUUGUAGGGCCAGUUCUGAACAGAAGGGACCCUACAGGAGCUCCAUUCUUCGUCUUCGUCUUCGUAUUCAAGAAAUGUAAGAAAAGUAAGUUUCAGUAAAUACAUUAUUAGUUAUAUGAAGGGCAACAUUUACCACCAGUAUAGUAUCCAAAAAGCAGCAAAAAGUGUUCUGCUAUUUGUUAAGUUUGUGCAACAAUAGCAGAACCCUUUUUGGUGCUAUAUAGAGCUACAGAUUCUCCAUCAAUCUUAAGAAACAUUUCACCAUGCAGAGAGCCAUUCAAACAUGAAAUCAUUCUAUAUAAAACUCAGUUUUAAAUUUGAUUUUUACACUGAGCAGUCUUUUUCAUUUCUUCUUUUCAUUUAGUGUAGACAGUAUGAAGUCUAUUUAUUUGCCACAAUAUGGAAUUGACAGUCUAAUGUGUAGAGAAUGUGUAGGAGAAUGUUGUACGUAUGUUAUGUUUGUUACUAUUUGUGUAAUGCCUAUUCUAUUAAUUUGCCUGUGUGUCAAUUUCAGCUUUCAGUUGGUUUGCAUGAAGUCUGUGCGUGUCUGAGACCCUGGAGUAAAGAACACUUUGGAAAAGUUGAAAAGAUCUGCAGAAUAUUUUCAUAUCUCUUUAUCUUUCUUUUGCCUCCUUGUCUAGAAUAGCGAACCUAAAUAUAUGCAUUCUCUGGUAAUUCUCAUGAUUAUAGAAAUAUUUGGCAGACAAUUAGUCACAGUGUUCAGUGUCCCAGUGCAGAGGGACGACCAUCCCCUGAAUAAGCCUUUAAAGAUGAUAGAAGCGCAUAGUGUGAGGGGAACUACUCCUGUUGCUGUUGUUUUUUUUUUUUACUGACUGAGAAACAUAUUUCUUUCAUUCGCACUACUCAGUGUGAGUCGAAAGAACACACUAUUCCCAGGAUAAAGAAGAAAGAAGAGAACAGAAUUUUACCAGAAGUCCGUGGUUGACUUUGGCUCUAAGAGUUUGCUCCUGAGGGAAAACAGCAGUGUGGACAGACGCGUUUCAUUUGUGGCAGUUAUAAGGCAUCGAAAAGAGCACUCAUUCUCUCUUCUUGGUUUUUGUCCAAAGAUUAGAGGAAAAUGGAGCAAAAUCUUAGCCUUAGAAGUCUUAAAAGACUGGUCUUCAUUAGAAAUCUCAAACGUUUUUUGAGUACCUCUAUUGAACCUUACUUUUUCUCUGUGGAGUGUUCUUGGCAUCAGAAUGUCUGCCUUAGUUUAACAUGUUGGUCUGAGCUUUUUGAAAAAAAAUUAUUUUUCUGGGGUCAAAUCCGUGGUUGGUGUAGUGGGUAACACCUGUGCCUUCUAUGCUGUAGACUAGGGUUCAAUCCCUGCCUGGGUAACCACCCUACACUAAACCAAUAAGAAUCCUUGGGCAAGACUCCUAACACUACUUUUGCCUACCUGUGCAAAACGAUCAAAUUGUAAGUAGCUCUGUAUAAGAGUGUCUGCCAAAUGCUGUAAAUGUCAAAUCUAUGAUGCACCUUCAAAGCCAACACAAAGGAUUUUAAUGCACAUAAUAUAUUGAUUGAUUAAAUGUGUAUAUGAUUCUGUAUUAUAUUGUACAAUUUUAAAGAUUUCUAUGUUUUCUAAUUCAGCAGAAUGGUGUUAAUAAGGGAUUUUUCUCAUUUUGUGUAGGCGAAAUGGACAACAAUAUUAAACAACACCAAAAAAGCUGGAUAAAUAAUACUGAAGCAUCUUCUAUGUACAACAGUGUGAUUGGUGUCCACUGAUGAUAAACCGGAAACAUGCACAUGUACAUGCACAAGUGGAGUGGAGCAGGGUGAAUAACUUACAUCUAUAUUGAAGACACAAAGGAGUUUGUGGUUGACUUCAGAGGAUGGAAGGGGGACCUUCCAUCUCUGACCAUCAAUGGCUAAGAGAUCUCUGCUUCUCAUGUGACUGUUCCUCCUUUCACAUUCUACUUCCUUAUACAAGUGUGCAUUUUGCGCUCUGAAGAUGGUUCUACUACUGCCUGGGAGAAAGACAGUUAAUCUAAGCAUCAUUCAGGCACAGAGACCCAGGCCAGCUCAGUGAUGUGUGCUGUGAAGAACAUCCAUUACAGGCCUGUCCAGGUGCAGGAGCACUGGAAUAUCCCAUUAUGACUCUUCCUGUCCCAUGAGGCUCCCUGCUCUCAGCCCUGAUGACCCUUGCUGACCUCUAGCGACAACUCAGCUUCUGUCUCAUUCUGCUUCCUUGCCAAUUGUCUCACUCCCAGCCUCUGCUCUGUUCCAUAGGAGUUGGGUGUAUCAGUGUGCUUAUUAGCACAUUGCAUGUUAAGCAUGGAAAACUCUCCAUAAAUCUGUCUCUUCUGAGCAGCAGGUCCCAUCUGGUGGACAGUUGUCCAAAAGCAGCAGUUUUUUCCCUGCGAUAAAAUCUUUUGGAAACCCAUCCUCAUUAAGGAUAAAAAAAUU